GACGAACGCUGGCGGCGUGCUUAACACAUGCAAGUCGAACGGAAAGGCCCUGGCUUGCUGGGGUGCUCGAGUGGCGAACGGGUGAGUAACACGUGAGUAACCUGCCCUUGACUUUGGGAUAACUUCUGGAAACUGGGGCUAAUACCGGAUAGGAGCACCUGCUGGAUUGUGGGGGUGGGAAAGUUUCGGCUGUUGGGGAUGGACUCGCGGCUUCUCAGCUUGUUGGUGGGGUAGUGGCUUACCAACGCUUUGACGGGUAGCCGGCCUGAGGGGGUGAGCGGCCACAUUGGGACUGAGAUACGGCCCAGACUCCUACGGGAGGCAGCAGUGGGGAAUAGUGCACAAUGGGCGGAAGCCUGAUGCAGCGACGCCGCGUGGGGGAUGACGGCCAUCGGGUUGUAAACCGCUUUCGCCUGGGACGAAGCGAGAGUGACGGUAAUGGGUAAAGAAGCACCGGCUAACUACGUG
rnacentral:rRNA from 1 species